rnacentral:rRNA from 1 species
GACGAACGCUGGCGGCGUGCUUAACACAUGCAAGUCGAACGGAAAGGCCCUGCUUUUGUGGGGUGCUCGAGUGGCGAACGGGUGAGUAACACGUGAGUAACCUGCCCUUGACUUUGGGAUAACUUCAGGAAACUGGGGCUAAUACCGGAUAGGAGCUCCUGCUGCAUGGUGGGGGUUGGAAAGUUUCGGCGGUUGGGGAUGGACUCGCGGCUUAUCAGCUUGUUGGUGGGGUAGUGGCUUACCAAGGCUUUGACGGGUAGCCGGCCUGAGAGGGUGACCGGCCACAUGGGGACUGAGAGACGGCCCAGACUCCAACGGGAGGCAGCAGUGGGGAAUAUUGCACAAUGGGCGGAAGCCGGAGGCAGCAACGCCGCGUGCGGGAUGACGGCCUUCGGGGUGUAAACCGCUUUCGCCUGUGACGAAGCGUGAGUGACGGUAAUGGGUAAAGAAGCACCGGCUAACUACGUG